UACGUAGGUGGCAAGCGUUGUCCGGAUUUACUGGGCGUAAAGAGCGCGCAGGCGGUCGGAUCAGUCGAAUGUGAAAGCCCCCGGCUCAACUGGGGAGGGUCAUUCGAUACUGUCCGACUCGAAGGCAGGAGAGGGAAGCGGAAUUCCCGGUGUAGUGGUGAAAUUCGUAGAUAUUGGGAAGAACACCGGUGGCGAAGGCGGCGACCUGGUCCGUGACUGACGCUGAGGCGCGAAAGCGUGGGGAGCAAACAGG
rnacentral:rRNA from 1 species